AUGGUGCCCCCACCCAAUGUCCCCAUAUCCCAAUGUCCCCAUAUCCCAAUGUCCCCAUAUCCCAAUGUCCCAAUGAUGUCCCCAUCCCGAUGUCCCCAUGUCCCCAUCCCAUAUCCCAAUGUCCCCAUACCCCAAUAUCCCAGUGAUGUCCCCAUCCCAUAUCCCAGUGUCCCCAAAUCCCAUAGCCAAUGUCCCCAUACCCCAAUGUCCCCAUAUCCCAAUGAUGUCCCCAUACCCCAUAUCCCAGUGUCCCCAUCCAAUGUCCCCGUGUCACUUUGGGGACAUUUGGGGUCACACUUUGGGGCACUUUGGGGACACACUUUGGGGACACAUUUUGGGGACAUUUGGGGUCACAUUUUGGGGACAUUUGGGGUCACAUUUUGGGACAAUUUGGGGACACAAUUUUGGGGACAUUUUGGGACACAGCUCUCAAAGGUCCCUUUGGGGACACAUUUUGGGGACACACUUAUGGGGACAUUUGGGGACACAUUUUUGGGGUCACAUUUUGGGGACAUAUGGGGUCAAUUUGGGGACACUUGGGGUCACAAUUUUGGGGACAGUUUGGGGACACAUUUAUGGGACAUUUUGGGGUCACUUCAGGGACACAAUUUUGGGGUCACAUUUUGGGGACAGUUUGGGACAAUUUGGGGACAUUUGGGGUCACAUUUUGGGGUCACAUUUUGGGGACACUUUGGGGACACAAUUUGGGGUCAAUUUGGGGACACUUACGGUCACAUUUUUGGGGACAGUUUGGGACAAUUUGGGGACAUUUGGGGUCACAAUUUGGAGUCACAUUUUGAGGACAUUUGGGGUCAAUUUGGGCUCACAUUUUUGGGGACAGUUUGGGACAAUUUAGGGACAUUUGGGGACAGACUUUUAGGGUCACAUUUUGGGGACACAAUUUGGGGACACAAUUUGGGGACAUUUGGGGACAUUUUUUGCUGUCCCCCCCCCCCUAUUUGGGGACAACAAAACCCUUUUCUCACCCCGCACCCCAACCCAGACCCGCGUCAUCGUCAUUAAUUGUCAGCAUCAUUAAUUAAUUAAUUGCCAGCAUCGUUAAUUAAUGAAGUGUCAUUUAUUGUCACCGUCCCGGGGGGGGGUCCGUCUGUCCGUCUGUCCGUCUGUCCGUCCGUCCCCCCCCCACCCCGUCCCCCUUUUAGGGUUUCUUUGGCCUGGAGGCCUGAGCCAAACACCAGAGGGAAUAGCAGGUGCCUGUGGGGACAUUGUGGGGUUAUGGGGUCAUUGGGGACAUUGGGGACAUUGUG
rnacentral:lncRNA from 1 species